rnacentral:rRNA from 1 species
GAAGUCAUUGAUGCCAUGCUUCCAGGAAAAGCCUCUAAGCUUCAGAUUGUAAGGAAUCGUACCCCAAACCGACACAGGUGGUCGGGUAGAGAAUACCAAGGCGCUUGAGAGAACUCGGGUGAAGGAACUAGGCAAAAUGGUACCGUAACUUCGGGAGAAGGUACGCUCUCGACGGUGAAGUCCCUCGCGGAUGGAGCUAUUGAGAGUCGCAGAUACCAGGUGGCUGCAACUGUUUAUUAAAAACACAGCACUGUGCAAAAUCGUAAGAUGACGUAUACGGUGUGACGCCUGCCCGGUGCCGGAAGGUUAAUUGAUGGGGUUAGACUUCGGUCGAAGCUCUUGAUCGAAGCCCCGGUAAACGGCGGCCGUAACUAUAACGGUCCUAAGGUAGCGAAAUUCCUUGUCGGGUAAGUUCCGACCUGCACGAAUGGCGUAAUGAUGGCCACGCUGUCUCCACCCGAGACUCAGUGAAAUUGAAAUCGCUGUGAAGAUGCAGUGUACCCGCGGCUAGACGGAAAGACCCCGUGAACCUUUACUACAGCUUGGCACUGAACAUUGACCCUACAUGUGUAGGAUAGGUGGGAGGCUUUGAAGCACGUACGCCAGUAUGUGUGGAGCCGUCCUUGAAAUACCACCCUUGUAGUGUUGAUGUUCUAACGUCGACCCCUUAUCGGGGUUGCGGACAGUGCCUGGUGGGUAGUUUGACUGGGGCGGUCUCCUCCCAAAGAGUAACGGAGGAGCACGAAGGUGGGCUAAUCACGGUUGGACAUCGUGAGGUUAGUGCAAUGGCAUAAGCCCGCUUGACUGCGAGAAUGACAAUUCGAGCAGGUGCGAAAGCAGGUCAUAGUGAUCCGGUGGUUCUGAAUGGAAGGGCCAUCGCUCAACGGAUAAAAGGUACUCCGGGGAUAACAGGCUGAUACCGCCCAAGAGUUCAUAUCGACGGCGGUGUUUGGCACCUCGAUGUCGGCUCAUCACAUCCUGGGGCUGAAGUCGGUCCCAAGGGUAUGGCUGUUCGCCAUUUAAAGUGGUACGCGAGCUGGGUUUAGAACGUCGUGAGACAGUUCGGUCCCUAUCUGCCGUGGGCGUUGGAAGAUUGAAGGGGGCUGCUCCUAGUACGAGAGGACCGGAGUGGACGAACCUCUGGUGUUCGGGUUGUGUCGCCAGACGCAUUGCCCGGUAGCUAAGUUCGGAAUCGAUAACCGCUGAAAGCAUCUAAGCGGGAAGCGAGCCCUGAGAUGAGUCUUCCCUGAUACUUUAAGUAUCCUAAAGGGUUGUCGGAGACUACGACGUUGAUAGGUCAGGUGUGUAAGUGCUGUGAGGCAUUGAGCUAACUGAUACUAAUUGCCCGUGAGGCUUAACCAUACAACAC